rnacentral:lncRNA from 1 species
GGACUUCCAGUUUGAAGCCGCUGUGUUGGUGACACUGGGAGUCCAGGCUCGAGUUUGCAAUAAACUCCUCAUGUAUUUACAUCAGAAGAGUUUCCAGGUGAUCUUCUUGGGGAUUUCACAACUUGGGCACAGCAUCACAUAUGGCAGGUGUGAGUUGAUGAAAAUGGAAAAUGAAUGGCAAAAUCAUCCUUGGC